rnacentral:lncRNA from 1 species
UGUUUUGCUUCUCUUCAUCUCCUUUAUUGCAGCUGGAGCCUUUCCAGCUCCCUCUCCUGGCUUGAUGUCCCUGUCCCUUGCAGCCCUGCUUUGGGGGGAUGUGUGCCAUGCUGCUCUUAUCCAUCUAUCCCCAGGUCACAGCACUGUCCCAACACCAGUGACUUCACACUGGCCUCUCCCCGGUGACAUCCACACUGGGAGCUACUGUAACCUCUCCUUGCAGAGUCCUCUGAUAGCCCUUGUCCAAAUAAACUCAUCUUGAAAAGAUCAAGAUUUUUCUUUCCAACAGACACCUUUUUCACUCCUCUUGGUUGGCCCUCAUUUUUCCACAUAAAGCUGUCAGUUCCAUGAAAAUGUCAGCGCAAGGCUCGGCAACCAUCGAGAAACAGAUCAAGUGGAAUGAAUCAUUUGGAAAGCAAAGAACAGAACAGAAAAAUCUAUGAUUCAUCCACACCUUGGGUACUGCGGGCACUUGUGGUCCCUUCAUCUCAAAAGGGGAUAGCAGAACUGAAACAGAUUCUGAAAAGAGCACAACAGAUGGUGGUAGACACACAGCAUAAUUAAAAGCACAAUUACCGAGGCACAAUGAAGUAGGCUCAGACUCGUUAGUGAGCAAGAGAAAAGGCUUGUGGGGAAAAAGUCAGGGUGUGAAGUCAUUAUUGCUGUGAAGGGGGCUUGGCUCCUCACCUCCUCCCCCAGGCCAAGGGCUCAGGGCUGUGGAUUAAGCUUGGAGAAGCCCCCCAGGAGGUGCAGCCCACCCCUCCCACCCCAGACCAGGGAAUCCAUCCUCUACAUCUGCUCCUGAAGCUGGCACGGAGGCUUUGCUUCAAGUGUCUCAGGAACAGAGAGAAAACCACAUUCACCUCUACAAUUCCCAUUAUCUCCUUCUCUCAGUCAAACAUCCUCUCUUUUCUCUAUCGUAUUAGGAAAAAAGCUCAUACCAGUGUUCUCAGGAGUAAGUUAAUUAUACCAGUGCUGAAGGCCUUUCCUUGCCUCUCCCCAUCUGUCAUCUUUCAUUCAUUAUGAAGGAAUGAGCCCCCACCUUCUAUCAGCUCAUAGCACCAGGCCACCCACCAGAUUUCCAAUGAAGCACUGCCGUGCUUUUCUUUAUUCAUGCUUCUAGCAGGGAAAAACACCCAGAAACCUUCUUACUUGUCUUCAAAACCUCCUUUUGCUGUGACUCUACAGCAAGUUUGCCAGCACAGCACCAGGAUCGCAGUCAGGAUUCCUUCACUGCUCCUCUGCUCACCUCCACCAGGCAGGAACUCUCCAGAACAAGCCUCCUCCUUUUCCCUGGUGCAAUUCCACACCACAAAGUUUGGUUUUGCAGCUCUCGUGCUGAGGAUCUACCAGAGGAGCUUCCCCAGCUGCAUCCAUCACUGGUUCAGUAUCUUCCUCUUCUGAUCCAUUCCUUUCCAAAGGACCAUGGGAGGGACAUUCAGGCCCCUCACUGUACUGGUCCCACUCUCUUCUUAGACUGGUUGAGCUGGGCCAGGGCAUGCAAUGGUUUGGGCUGGGCCCAAGUCCUCUGUGGCCUGCAGGGAAGGAAAAGUCUUGGAGCCAGAAUUGUGUGUGGAAUUAGCUGGAAUCCCUUCAAAAGCCUGCGACACUUCAUCUCCUCAGCAAAACAUCCGAGAUGCUGCACAUUUAUUUACUGUGAUGUUCCAAGUUAUAAAGAGGCUUUCUAUACCACCCUGGAUACACCCUGGAUGGGAGCUGGCAUUGUCCCUUCUGCACUUGGAAAAGCCCGUAAAUAGGCUGGAGGAGCUCUAGGAGCACAGGGGAAGCCUGGUGGAUGUUAAGUCAGUGAUAAACCUGCUUUGAAAGUAGAACCUCUGCGAGCAUAGAAAAGGGCCAAGAUUUUGGAAAAGAUUUCAUACUCAGUACUGAGCACUGUGCUCAGGAAAACCCAAUUAUCCAGGACAGCAACCCAGAGAGGCAGAACAAUCCCUGUCCUUGAAGACACACAAAAGCUGACUGGAUGAUGGCCAGACCAACUGGACUUCACUGGCUCCAGCUGGCUCUGGAGAUUCUCUGAGUGUCCUUUCACCCCAUUAUCUACUGGCCGUGGAACUGCACAUCCCCGACACCGCAAACAAGUCUCAGUUGCACAGAGAACAGCAAGGCUGUUCCAGUCAGCCCCAGAGCACUCCCUAGAGCUCAGCUCUCCUCCUUGGCUCCCUGGCAUGAGAUACCCACAGCAGAGGACCUGCUGGCCCAAUCCCUGAGCUGGGUGCCUUUUACACACAGGAAAAUGUCUCCUAUCUUGACAGCAUUCCCACAGUCUUGCGGAUAAGCCAGAGGGUGCCCCUGGAAAAACAAUCUGCAGGAAAGCUGAAAUGCUGGAGUGAAAGUCUGGCUGGUUUGCAUUUGAAUUUCAGUAAAAAUGCACUUAGACCAAUGUUUGGCUCCAAAAACCCUUCCAGGUUUGAAAGCCUAAGAGCCUUGCUAAAGCAGUUCUUGGCAGUGGAGUACUGUCUACAGAAGAAACACCAGUUCCCACUGACAGACACAGGAUGGGAACUGCCCCUCCCUUACACCCAGACACACCUCAGGACUAGCAUCCUGUAAGGAUGGAUUUUACACCUUCACCUGGGGAUCAUCCUGGAAAACAAGGGCUUAUAAAGCCACUUUAUAACCUGGGAUAUCACAGCAAAUAAAUGUGCAGCAUCUCAGAUGUUCUGCUGAAGAGAUGAGGCGUUGUGGGCUUUUGAUAAGAUUCCACAUACAAAUCUGGCUCCAAGGCCUUUCCUUCCAAGUAGAUUGUUACUAAGCCCUUCCACCAAUGCAGUGACUGACUUCAUUCCUCCUGAACAGGACUUUCUCUGGCCUCUUCUCCCUUGCUGCAAAGCUUGCCCUCCUAACAGUGUAGCACAAGGAGAGAGAGGACCGUGCUGCAGGACAUGGGUUGAAGGAUGUUGGGUUUUGCUGUUUGCAGGUGUUUUCAGGGACCUGUUUUGAACUGAGAUCACCUGGAUUUGCUUGGACAUUUGUAGCCCCACACCCCCAAGACUGUGCAGUAGCACAGGGGAGGGUAGUUUUCCACUGUGUGCAUUCCAGAACUGGCAGGAAAAUAGAGAGGAGCAGAGGCAGCAUCACAAGGGGAAACAUGAGAGACUUCCCUUGGAAUAAUCCCUUCCAUGGAAAGGGGUUCAAACAACUGUAGGCUCUUCCAGAUUACACCUUCCAGAUCCCUGGGAUCAAUCAGAAAGAGGCUGAGUUGUUAUUUCCACAGCCUGACUCUGGAAACUGCACCCAGUAACACUUUACAGAGAUGGUUCAGCACUGGCCCUGCUCCUGUUCCCCACACAUGCAAUAAAAGAGUGUGCUGGCAGCUCAGAGAAUUCCCCAUGGCAUGUUCAAUUGUGGCUGAUGUCCUUUAAAAUAAUCAGUGCAUCCUCCAAAACACUGCCUGCAUUCCCUGCUCCUGAAAACUGCCUGCUGGAAGUGCUAAUGUGCUGUUAGACUCUGUGUGAUGAUUAUAGAUGAUAAACAUAAUUAUUUUGGGUCCUGAUUGCCUCUGCUGUCUCCAUUCUGUUGCUGAUGUGUAAAGCAAUCUCAGUGUUAUCAGUUUUAUGGGCAGAGUGUGGAGGUAGAGAUUUAUUCCUGAAGCCAAACCCUCAGGGAACAACACCCCUCUCCCCCCUCCCUUCUGAGGCACUGAGCUGUGCUGUGACAGAUUCCUGCCUCUUGGAACGUGGAGUCUUUAAGAUGCACCUGAACACUGCCCAGACCAGGUCAGACAGUGAUGGAGGUGGGUUUCCCCAUCCAGCUGUAAAUCCCAAGGGAAGGAAAGCACUGGUGAUGGAGUGGGAGUGAUUUGACUGACCACUGCCCAAAGCAGUGCUUCAGGCAGGAUUUCAUGGAGAUGAAGAAAAUCAAGUCUCCUAAAGCAGCACAGUGGCCCAUUUGACCUGGGGGUACCGUGUGUGCACCCCCGUGGGUGGGGAGCCCUUCAUAUUAGGACCAGCAGAUGCCUCAGGUUGGGAUCCAGAGCACAAACCUCUG